GUCGAGCGGUAGAGAGAAGCUUGCUUCUCUUGAGAGCGGCGGACGGGUGAGUAAUGCCUAGGAAUCUGCCUGGUAGUGGGGGAUAACGUUCGGAAACGGACGCUAAUACCGCAUACGUCCUACGGGAGAAAGCAGGGGACCUUCGGGCCUUGCGCUAUCAGAUGAGCCUAGGUCGGAUUAGCUAGUUGGUGAGGUAAUGGCUCACCAAGGCGACGAUCCGUAACUGGUCUGAGAGGAUGAUCAGUCACACUGGAACUGAGACACGGUCCAGACUCCUACGGGAGGCAGCAGUGGGGAAUAUUGGACAAUGGGCGAAAGCCUGAUCCAGCCAUGCCGCGUGUGUGAAGAAGGUCUUCGGAUUGUAAAGCACUUUAAGUUGGGAGGAAGGGCAUUAACCUAAUACGUUAGUGUUUUGACGUUACCGACAGAAUAAGCACCGGCUAACUCUGUGCCAGCAGCCGCGGUAAUACAGAGGGUGCAAGCGUUAAUCGGAAUUACUGGGCGUAAAGCGCGCGUAGGUGGUUUGUUAAGUUGGAUGUGAAAUCCCCGGGCUCAACCUGGGAACUGCAUUCAAAACUGACUGACUAGAGUAUGGUAGAGGGUGGUGGAAUUUCCUGUGUAGCGGUGAAAUGCGUAGAUAUAGGAAGGAACACCAGUGGCGAAGGCGACCACCUGGACUAAUACUGACACUGAGGUGCGAAAGCGUGGGGAGCAAACAGGAUUAGAUACCCUGGUAGUCCACGCCGUAAACGAUGUCAACUAGCCGUUGGAAGCCUUGAGCUUUUAGUGGCGCAGCUAACGCAUUAAGUUGACCGCC
rnacentral:rRNA from 1 species